rnacentral:lncRNA from 1 species
UUGUAAGUAACUUGUACUGUUUCCAAAACAUAGGCUUAGUGGCCGUGUAAUAAGCCACCAUUUUGCUGUGUGCUACUGGCAGAAAUUUCUUGGGGGUUUGUUAAAAAAAGACAUGGUGAAAAUAGCAGAAUAUCUGUCAAUAAUCAUCAAAUGGGGUAAUAAGUAUCAACCUUCUCAGGAGAGACCAUUUUAGACUCUUAAUCUUUUCGAUAAAAAUCCAUUAGUAGUGUAAAUGCUCAACUCUAUUGUGGGCGCCAUUUAUUUGCUUUUGUUUAAUAUGAAUUACUUCACGUUAAAUGCAUUUUGUUACUUUUAAAACAGAUUAAUCUGCUCAGAAAUGGGUAGUAAUU